rnacentral:lncRNA from 1 species
CAGGCCUAAUUUCUAACACUGAAUCUCCCACCCUCAGCCAUGAUAGAACCCUAAAUGUAUUCCUAAAACUCAAACAAAUCCCAACAAAAACCACAACCCAAACUGCACCUUGCCCCUUCGUCCUAAGCCACUUCCUCACCCUAACUGUAGCGAAACUUUGAGGAUGCGACCUCACUUCCUUGGUAUUAGAACACAACGAAGCUGGGUGCACUUCUGAAGCUGUCUCCCGUCCUGACCCCUUGGAGGGAGACAGUGGAGAGGGGAGGAUGAGCUGUUGCCAUUUUCCCGCUUCCCGAAGGUCUAGCCACAGAAAGGACCGCAAUCCGAGAUUUUUCCGACCUUGGCUCGGCUCUGGCCGCAGAUGUUUCCGGCUAAUGUUCAGGAGGAACCCACAUGUGAGAGAGGCAGCCCAGUGCCCAUCCUGGACGUCAGUGCCAGCCGUGAGCUCUCAUGGGCAGUGCUUCCCCUCGCGCUCAGGCGCCACCUCUCCCAUUUUGGAAACCUGGUCCGAAUGGCACCAUCCACCGGACAUUCCCCAAAUCAAGAUCAAAAGGGCCGGCUUGCAAGUGAACUCACCUGGAGCAGACAUGGAGCCUCCCUUGUGCCUUCCCCUUGCUCAGCUCCGGCUCCAUGUCCAGAACACCAUGGGCCUGCUCUGCAGCCAGAGCCAGCACCAGAGAAGGAGCCUCCUCUGGAGACAGGAGAGAAGCAGAAGCCAGCUCC